rnacentral:tRNA from 1 species
GUGCCCUUAGCUCAGUUGGUUAGAGCGCCUGGUUGUGGUCCAGGAGGCCGUCGGUUCAAAUCCGAUAGGGCACC